UGGGUCAUCCAGUGAAUCCAUGGCUAGCUGGUAGCCAGACUUUACGGAGUAGACUCCCGAUUUGGUAAGGUUCCAGCAAUAGCUUGGAGGGCGAGUAGAGCGAGUCGGCCUGAGGCUACGUAUAAGGGGGAUGUCACUCGGGAUUACUAGCUCUCGAAGGCGUUCAUGCUGCCAGUCUUUUGAGAUCGGGUCCAACAGGUCUGCCACGCGGAGAGCGGGGUUAAAGGAAGGUCUGCGGGGGAUGGCAGGACGAGCCGGUGUUGACGGGAUCCAGGGGUCGGCCCAGACCAGGGUGGUGUCUCCGGUCCCUAUCGACUUACGGAUGCCUUUUUUGAGCAGGGUUUGAG
rnacentral:lncRNA from 1 species